GCGCGUAACUUGGUUUUUAUAUCAAUUAGCAAAAUUCUUCUUGAUUUACGUUUCAACCUACUGUUCACCUUUUUCUAACUGUGCCACCACAAAUGCGUAUUGUUAAUAAUAUUAUUAUAUGUGUUUUUAAUUUUUUUUAAUCGACAAUAAACCUCUCUUUAUUUGUUGUCACUGUUGGCAGUUUCUUUAAAAUAGAAAAAACUCGUAGGUUUUGCGAAAAUAUAUUGAUAAAAGACGGACAUACUUCGCACGUGGAUGCUAAAGAAAAAACUUUAUUCUUCU